rnacentral:rRNA from 1 species
GCGGUAAUUCCAGCUCCAGUAGCGUAUAUGAACGUUGUUGCGGUUGAAAAGCUCGUAGUCGGAAGCCGGGCGGCGCGGAUCGGUCUUGGGGCUUUUGCCCCCUGCACUGACCGCGCCGUCCUCCCUGCCGGGGGCCGGCGCCUGGGCUUSRUUGUCCGGGCCCGGGGCCCGGCGAGGUUACUUUGAGGAAAUUUGAGUGCCCAAAGCACGCGUCCCGCGUGACUUCACUAGCAUGGAAUAACAUCGAUGGGCUCCGGCCGUCGUGUUGGCUCGGCUGCACGGAGCAACGAUCGGUAGGAGUGGUUCGGGGGCGUCCGUACCGACGGGAGAGAGGUGAAAUUCUAGGACCCCGUCGAGACGAACCUAAGCGAAAGCAGUCGCCAAGGACACUUCCUUGUGAUCAAGAGCGAAAGUUGGGGGAUCGAAGAUGAUUAGAUACCGUCGUAGUCCCAACUGUAAACUAUGCCAUCUGGGGAUCGACGGGCUGACGCAAAUUUGGCCCGCCGGCACCCUCCGAGAAAUUAAAAGAUCUUGGGUUCCGGGGAUAGUAUGGUGGCAACGCUGAAAUUUGAAGGAAUUGACGGAAGGGCACCACCAGGCGUGGAUGCUGCGGCUUAAUUUGACUCAACACGGGGAAACUUACGGGGUUUGGACACGGGUAGGAUGGACAGAUUGAGAGCUCUUUCUUGAUUCCGUGGAUGGUGGUGCAUGGCCGAUCUCAGCCCGUGGGUUGACCUGUCAGGUUCACUCCGGUAACGCGCGAGACCUCGACCUGCCAAAUAGCGACCGGCCCGCUUCGGCGGAUCGGACACGCUUCUUGGAGGGACUGCCGGCGAGAGCCGGAGGAAGUCGAGGCAAUAUCAGGUCAGUGAUGCCCUUAGUUAUCCUCGGUUGCACGCGUCCUACACUGUGCCGCCCAACGAGCUCUUCCCUUGCCCGACAGGCUUGGGUAAUCUGUCGAAUGCGCCACGUGACGGGGCUAGACUCUUGUUAUUCUUGGUCUUCAACGAGGAAUGCCUAGUAGUCGCGGGUCAGAAUCCCGCGACGAUUGCGUCCCUGCCCUUUGUACACACCGCCCGUCGCUGAUACUGAUGGC